GAUGAAGAACGUAGCGAAAUGCGAUAAGUAGUGUGAAUUGCAGAAUUCAGUGAAUCAUCGAAUCUUUGAACGCACAUUGCGCCCUUUGGUAUUCCUUAGGGCAUGCCUGUUCGAGCGUCAUUUAAACCUUCAAGCCCCCGGGCUUGUGUUGGGGACCUGCGGCUGCCGCAGGCCCUGAAAAGCAGUGGCGGGCUCGCUGUCACACCGAGCGUAGUAGAUUUUAUCUCGCUCUGGGCGUGCUGCGGGUUCCGGCCGUUAAACCACCCUUUUAACCCAAGGUUGACCUCGGAUCAGGUAGGAAGACCCGCUGAACUUAAGCAUAUCAAUAAGCGGAGGA
rnacentral:misc_RNA from 1 species